rnacentral:rRNA from 1 species
CUACGUGCCAGCAGCCGCGGUAAUACGUAGGGUGCAAGCGUUAAUCGGAAUUACUGGGCGUAAAGAGUGCGCAGGCGGUUUUGCAAGACCGAUGUGAAAUCCCCGGGCUUAACCUGGGAACUGCAUUGGUGACUGCAAGGCUAGAGUGUGUCAGAGGGAGGUGGAAUUCCGCAUGUAGCAGUGAAAUGSGUAGAUAUGCGGAGGAACACCGAUGGCGAAGGCAGCCUCCUGGGAUAACACUGACGCUCAUGCACGAAAGCGUGGGGAGCAAACAGGAUUAGAUACCCUGGUAGUCCACGCCCUAAACGAUGUCUACUAGUUGUCGGGGAUUAAUUUCCUUGGUAACGCAGCUAACGCGUGAAGUAGACCGCCUGGGGAGUACGGUCGCAAGAUUAAAACUCAAAGGAAUUGACGGGGACCCGCACAAGCGGUGGAUGAUGUGGAUUAAUUCGAUGCAACGCGAAAAACCUUAC